GUCGAGCGAGCUGAAUUCAAAGAUCCCUUCGGGGUGAUUUGUUGGACGCUAGCGGCGGAUGGGUGAGUAACACGUGGGCAAUCUGCCCUAAAGACUGGGAUACCACUUGGAAACAGGUGCUAAUACCGGAUAACAACAUGAAUCGCAUGAUUCAAGUUUGAAAGGCGGCGCAAGCUGUCACUUUAGGAUGAGCCCGCGGCGCAUUAGCUAGUUGGUGGGGUAAAGGCCUACCAAGGCAAUGAUGCGUAGCCGAGUUGAGAGACUGAUCGGCCACAUUGGGACUGAGACACGGCCCAAACUCCUACGGGAGGCAGCAGUAGGGAAUCUUCCACAAUGGACGCAAGUCUGAUGGAGCAACGCCGCGUGAGUGAAGAAGGUUUUCGGAUCGUAAAGCUCUGUUGUUGGUGAAGAAGGAUAGAGGCAGUAACUGGUCUUUAUUUGACGGUAAUCAACCAGAAAGUCACGGCUAACUACGUGCCAGCAGCCGCGGUAAUACGUAGGUGGCAAGCGUUGUCCGGAUUUAUUGGGCGUAAAGCGAGCGCAGGCGGAAUGAUAAGUCUGAUGUGAAAGCCCACGGCUCAACCGUGGAACUGCAUCGGAAACUGUCAUUCUUGAGUGCAGAAGAGGAGA
rnacentral:rRNA from 1 species